CCCUUAGAUGUUCUGGGCUGCACGCGCGCUACACUGACACGUUCAACGAGUUGUUGCCUGGACCGAGAGGUUUGGGAAAUCUUUUGAAAUCGUGUCGUGAUAGGGAUAGAUUAUUGCAAUUAUUAAUCUUCAACGAGGAAUUCCUAGUAAACGCAAGUCAUCAGCUUGCAUUGAUUACGUCCCUGCCCUUUGUACACACCGCCCGUCGCACCUACCGAUUGAAUGGUCCGGUGAAGCGUUCGGACCGUGGCCUUUGGACGGUUCGCCGUCUGUUGGCUGCGGGAAGUUCGUUAAACCUUAUCAUUUAGAGGAAGGAGAAGUCGUAACA
rnacentral:rRNA from 1 species